rnacentral:lncRNA from 1 species
AGGGGCCAAAUUAAUAAUUGGGCUUUAGAGCCUAACAUUCUCAGGCACGGCCCUGCAGAUCACCAUAUCAAGACUUUGCAGCUUUUUUUUUGUUAACAAAUCGCUGAUAGGCUUCUACAGAGGUUGGCCAUUAAUCCAUCUCUUGAACAUAGCAGAGUACUCAUCUGGUUUAUACACAAUGGUGUGCCCGCCGCCCUAUAAACCAAACCCACAAAACUGAGAAACAAUAUCAAGUAUAAAGAAACUAUUUUAAAUUUACGUAAAAAGAAAAGUGUUGACUUGCUUUUACAGUGGCAAAUGUCAUUUUAUUGGCAUACGUCCUUGUGUAUCUGCAACUAGAAAUACCAUCAAACAGCAUUAAACAAUAAUUUAUCUCAAAAUAGUAUAUGAAGGGAAAAAUCACCAAAAUAGUGUUUCUUAAAUAUUUUUUUUUUCAAAAAUUAUAUAAUAUUUUGGUUUAUUAUUGAGAAAUUGCUUUGUAUAACAUUCGAAAAAAUUAUAAUUCAUUCUAUGAUCAAUUACCUUAAUUCAUCGAUAUGUAGUGUGUAUAUAUUAUAUAAUAAUGUAAAUUAACCCUUUAUUAUUUAGAGUUUAUGGUUAGUAUUUAGAAUGUAUAAAUUAGAGUAACGUUUAGGGAUUGGACUAAUUAAAUCAUUUUUAACCCUUUAAUGAAUGCAAUUUUGUGUUUCAAAGAAAAAAAAUGAAUGCAAUUUUGAAUAUUCUUCUGCCAUGCUAAUUUUGUCAUAAGUUUUUUUGGGUGCUAUCUAAGGGAUUUGCCCAAAAAAUAUUGUUCGUUCUUAAAGGUGUAUGUAUCCAUUUGUUAGAGAACUAAUAAAAAAACUGUAAAACAAAACUGAUUGAAUUAUACCCAGCGACUUGAUUGUGAACCAUCCAUGGCCUCCAGUCCUCAACAAUGGAAUAGUUUAGUGAUCUCAUCCAAUCUUGAGUUGCAAGAAAAGGGACAAGCAAGUCGUGAUCACCACUGCUUCACCAGAAACAUCAUGCCAAGAUAAAAAAAAAGUUUAUCAAAAGCCUAAACAGAAGAUUAAAGAAGACUUGGUGUGGACGACCUGAAGAUGAGAGAUCGAUAUCCUUGGAUGCUGUUGUUCUUAUGGUAUGGUACACUGCUGUUAAUGUCAAACUUGUAAGGUAAUUCCCGAUCACAAAGUGACCAUUCUCCGAUAGUCCCCUGCAAAUUUUCACGGUUUUAUUACCAUCAAUCAAAAAGCCUUUCUAUUAUUACCAAACCAUCUUAUAUUAAUAUUUUUUGUUAUCAAUCAUCAUGCAUAUAUAACCUUCUCCACAUGAAGGGCUCUGCGCACACUCUCCUCAUUGGUCCAGCGGUUAGACUGCACAGUCAUGCGAUGCCCAAGCGGGUUGGCGUCAUCGGGGUCAGACGGGUUUAUGUACUUUGGUCCUAGAAUAUAUGACCAAUCUAAUCCAGAAACACACUGUAUAUAAAAAGCAGCUUGAAAAUUAGUGAUCUUCCUUUAUAUUUUUUAAGUGUUUGAUAUUUUUAAGAGUGUAUGUGUUUACGUACCUUCUCAAACUCUUCAACGAGAUUCAUGCAUUCUGUGUUAAGAGGAUCCACUUUAGCAUAAUUUCCUCUGCAGCUUCUCCUUAGCGACUGCAAAUAAGAAUUUUGAGUUAGCUUCUCAGCUGCUUCGUUGUGAUAUCAAUGUAACUCUACCUCGUAGUGCUCGUCAGAGAUCAAAGCCAUUCCAUGAGCAAAUGGAAUGUGCCAGUUCUUCUCGUUAUCCAAGUCUGUUAUAGGAUUUCCCAGCACGUAACCCUGUCGAGAGGGUGUAACAAGAGUACAAGACUCUCAGUUCUUGAUGCUCUAUACAAGGUAUAUCAUGUAUGAUGCAACCAUAAGACCUAUGACGUACCUGAAGAUUUAUUUGAGGUUUACAGCAUAAACCAUUUCCUGAGAUAAAAGUGAAAUAUAUUGAAGAAUGAUACAUUUGAAUAACUUUCAGUGCAAGAGUAUUAGCAAAGGUGAUUACAUGAUCAUAUACUCAACUAUGAGUAUCUAAUGUCCUAAACUAUGACAAUUAUGAUCAGUGUACAUUUCGAAUAGUAAGGCAAGCAAACAAAUAAAAAAAAUGAUCACUAAAACAUAUGGAAUACCAUAUAAUCAGGCUGCAUUUGCACAGAGUCCAAAAAAAAUUGUAAUUUUUUUAAUUAAAAUUUAGAGUAUUUUAUAGAAGUUUAAGAUUUUUAUUUUUGCAAAACUGUUUUAAUCGUUCGUAUAAAAUGAAGAUUGAGACAGGCCUGCAUAUAAUGAGCUAUAAUAUAUUAAUAUCUAAUGCAGAUGGAUAAUGCCUAGCUUGAUAUGAGAGUUAAAGAAAAGGCUAAGUUGAAAUGAUAAUAAAAAAAAUUACCAAUUGAGAUUUCUUGAACAGUAGCGGGAACCACUUUACCGGCAUAAGAAUUUCCGGUGACAUAGAAAGGAUUGGAGAAAUACUCAGGAUGCUUGGCUAGCCACUGCACAAGAAUCAGCCAACAACAAUAACUAAACCACAAAAAGGUCUAUGCACAAAGACAUUUAAAAAAAAACACUUGAAACAGUUUUCUUCCUUUACUUUAUGAACAAACUCAUGGACCAGCUUAGCUGAUCUUGUGUCACUUGGUAUAUUAGCAAGUGGGUUUCUAGAGUAAGAGAAGCCAGUGUCAACAGGCUGAUCCAAAUAGAUUAUAUUCGCCACCUGAUGAAAAAAGAAACAAUCAUCCAAAAAAUUAAUUGAAGAUGACCAAAGAGUGUUUUGUGUUAUGAGUAUACUUUGUGUUAACCUUAGACCAUGAAUAUGUAGUAGAGACCAAUGAUGGGAUGUUUCCACUGUCAGACUCAGUAUUGAAAGCCAGAGGCCCUGCAUGUUUCUCAAAUUGAAAACCAAGUCAUCAAGAUUUCUGUGGAGACAAUAAUUUUAGAUGUUACCAUUCUCAAGAAGAAAGCCAGAGAUAGAAGAGCAGCCAGGUCCUCCGGUUAACCAGAUAAGAAGAGGGUCUUCUGCUGGAGUUCUCUCAGAUUUGAUGAAGUAGUAGAAAAACUGGCUUUCCUCUGCCUCACCAACACCAAUGUACCUGAAUGACUUAACUUUAAAAAAAUCACAGCACAGAUUCAUUAUUUAAAAGACAUGUAUGGAGAUGAGAUGGUGGAGAAGGACAGAACCCGGUUUCAAGCUCGAAAGGAAGAGGGCCAUGGUAACCUGGAAGAUAUCGAACUGUAGAUAUUCCUGAAUAAGCAUGCAGAAGAGGAAGAAGCAGAAGCAGCUGCAACAACAACUUGUUCCCCAUUAAUUGUUUUCUUUGUUUUUCUUCGUUAGAACUUAGGACGAAAACAUUUACAGAUUUAAAUAAAAUGAGAUGCUGCUGGAGAACCAAGAAGAACCAUGGAAUUUGGGAUGGGCACUUUAUCUUGGUUAAUGACACUGUUGACACACAACAAUUCAACCAUGUGGCACGUGCGUCCUUUUUACCAUUCGUUUGCAUGCAGUGCACAAACCAAGAUCCUAUAGUAAAUGUCUGCGUCUCCUUGCGCCGGAGUCGGAAAUGAUGUCAAGAGUAUGACGAAGGCAAAAAGAAAGAAGUGAUCUUAAAUUUUAUGAAAAAAUAGUCUCAAGAAUUAGUGUUGCAAAAAAUGUUGCAUGUUUUCAUGUCUUGUGGACUUUUUUUUGUUGUUGGUCUUAUGGAUUUAUGAUAUUCUAAAGUAAAUCUUGUAAGAUAUUUUAGCGUUAUAAACUUCCAAUUUUAAAGCAAUUGAAGAUAAGUAGAUUGAUUCAAAUUCUUUAUAUACUAAUGUCGAUAUUAUGUUACAUAUUAGAUCAUCUUUCAAAUCAAAACUAAUUGACGAUAAAUGAAUGAUUUUAAUCUUUCAUAUACUAGUUUUGCUCUCUUUAAAAUACUUCUGUCGAUAUAAUUCGACUCAAAUCCUACUUAAAUAUCAGUAACAAACCAUUUCUAAAUCACUUGGUUGCAAUGGAGCGUUAAUAUCAUAUUAUAUUUUAUAAGUUUUUGAUUCAAAACUAAUUGAUAAUAAGUGGAUAAUUUAAAUCGUUUUAUACCUUAGUGUUAAUCCCUUAAAACUUUCAACGUGAGAUCUCUAACACAUUCUAUACUUCUUUGCAAUCAUAUUUACUUUACCAUCAUUAGUCGUUUAUCAAACAAUCUAAUAAUAAAUCCUUGGUAACGUGAAGAGGCACGUACAAGGAACAAAGUCGUGUUUAAAGUGGUUUGAAGUUUGCACAUGGGAGCAAAACCGAUCAAAAGACAAAUUAUAUCUUCAAUCAUUUGGUAUUAUAAAUAAUUCGGUACGGUUCGGGUUUAAAGUCCAAUAAACCAAAAAUAUCCUGAAAACCCGAGUUAAACCCAGAAAAACCAAAAAAAAAUAUUUGGUAAUUCGGGUAGUUCAGAUUUUUUUGGAUAUUUUUAUUUAUAAUUAUAUUUUAUAUAUAUUUAAAAUAAAAAUAAUUAAUAUUUUUAAUAUAUUCAAAAUAUUUGGUAUUUUCGGUUCUCGGUUCGGUUUAGGUUUUUUAGAUUUAUAAAUAUAGAAAUCGUUCAGAUUUUUAUAAUUUUCGAUUUGGUUUCAGUUUCGGGUUUUUCAGUUCGGUUCCAGUUUGGUUUUUGGAUUUCGAAUAAUAUGCUGAUGACUAUCCGUCCCGCCCCUUCCACGCUUAAAGCUGAAUUUAGGCCACAAUUAUCUUUUAAAUAUUUAAGGGCCACGUUUCUAACAUUCCGCUAGUGAAACUUGUAAUAUGUAAUUUGUAUUUCAUUUUUUUUUUUUGAAAAAAGGGCAUUUAAAAUUAAUUAAUUAAACUAACAGGAUCUGGAAUGUAUGCAUAUUGAUUUGUUUAGCUACUUGAACGUUAUUGAUUGUCACGUAUAAAAAAGAAGUUGGAAUUGCCCCCAAAAUUAUCAUUGUCUUUUUGCCUAAUCAUACAACACACAUCAGAUCACCAUACCAAGACUUUGCAGUUUUUUUUUGUUAACAAAUCGCUGAUAGGCUUCUACAGAGGUUGGCCAUUAAUCCAUCUCUUGAACAUAGCAGAGUACUCAUCUGGUUUAUACACAAUGGUGUGCCCGCCGCCCUAUAAACCAAACCCACAAAACUGAGAAACAAUAUCAAGUAUAAAGAAACUAUUUUUAAUUUACGUAAAAAGAAAAGUGUUGACUUGCUUUUACAGUGGCAAAUGUCAUUUUAUUGGCAUACGUCCUUGUGUAUCUGAAACGAGAAAUACGA